GACGAACGCUGGCGGCGUGCUUAACACAUGCAAGUCGUACGGUAAGGCCCUUUUGGGGGUACACGAGUGGCGAACGGGUGAGUAACACGUGAGUAACCUGCCCACAACUUUGGGAUAACGCUAGGAAACUGGUGCUAAUACUGGAUAUGUGCUCCUGCUGCAUGGUGGGGGUUGGAAAGCUCCGGCGGUUGUGGAUGGACUCGCGGCCUAUCAGCUUGUUGGUGGGGUAGUGGCCUACCAAGGCGGCGACGGGUAGCCGGCCUGAGAGGGUGACCGGCCACAUUGGGACUGAGAUACGGCCCAGACGCCUACGGGAGGCAGCAGUGGGGAAUAUUGCACAAUGGGCGCAAGCCUGAUGCAGCAACGCCGCGUGCGGGAUGACGGCCUUCGGGUUGUAAACCGCUUUCAGCAGGGACGAAGCUUUUUGUGACGGUACCUGCAGAAGAAGCACCGGCUAACUACGUG
rnacentral:rRNA from 1 species